rnacentral:rRNA from 1 species
GAUGAACGCUGGCGGCGUGCCUAAUACAUGCAAGUCGAGCGAACAGACGAGGAGCUUGCUCCUCUGACGUUAGCGGCGGACGGGUGAGUAACACGUGGAGAACCUACCUAUAAGACUGGGAUAACUUCGGGAAACCGGAGCUAAUACCGGAUAAUAUAUUGAACCGCAUGGUUCAAUAGUGAAAGACGGAUUUGCUGUCACUUAUAGAUGGAUCCGCGCCGCAUUAGCUAGUUGGUAAGGUAACGGCUUACCAAGGCAACGAUGCGUAGCCGACCUGAGAGGGUGAUCGGCCACACUGGAACUGAGACACGGUCCAGACUCCUACGGGAGGCAGCAGUAGGGAAUCUUCCGCAAUGGGCGAAAGCCUGACGGAGCAACGCCGCGUGAGUGAUGAAGGUCUUCGGAUCGUAAAACUCUGUUAUUAGGGAAGAACAAAUGUGUAAGUAACUAUGCACGUCUUGACGGUACCUAAUCAGAAAGCCACGGCUAACUACGUG